rnacentral:rRNA from 1 species
AUGUGGCUCGACAACUACUCGGUUACGCAUUAUCGUCCACACAAGGUGGUGAACUCGGACGUCAAUGUGCGCUACACGGUUGCAUGUGCAUGUGAAGAUGAAAUAUGUCCGUGGAUUGUGCGUGCAAGACCAUGGAAAGGAGGUCCCACUUGGCACGUAGUGAGUUGUGUGCCAACUCACAUGUGCCGAGGAAAAAGGGUGGAUGGCAAGAAUGUGUCCCAAGACCACAGACAACUCACGUCCGAGUUCAUCGCUUGCAGGCUCUCCAACAAAAUAUCCACACUUCCAACAAUGAGCGUCCAACAUGUCAUUGACCUUGUGAAAGCCAUCUUUCAUUACAAGGUGAAGUACGGCAAAGCAUGGAAGGCGAAGCAAGCCGCAUUUAAGAUGUUGUAUGGUACUUGGGAGGAAGCAUACAACCGAAUCCCUAGGUUGUUGUUAGCCAUGGCCAUGACAAACCUGGGCAUGGUUCAUGUGGUCGAGCCUCAUGGGCACCAAACAACGGUUCAUGAAGGAAGGAAAGUCCAAGUAUUUGGCCGUGCAUUUUGGGCAUUCGAGCAAUGA